rnacentral:rRNA from 1 species
UACGUAGGGUGCAAGCGUUGUCCGGAAUUAUUGGGCGUAAAGAGCUCGUAGGCGGUUUGUCGCGUCUGCUGUGAAAACUCGGGGCUUAACCCCGGGCCUGCAGUGGGUACGGGCAGACUAGAGUGCGGUAGGGGAGACUGGAAUUCCUGGUGUAGCGGUGAAAUGCGCAGAUAUCAGGAGGAACACCGGCGGCGAAGGCGGCACUCUGGGCCGGUACUGACGCUGAGGAGCGAAAGCGUGGGUAGCAAACAGG